rnacentral:tRNA from 1 species
GGAGAGGUGGCCGAGCAUGGCUGAAGGCAGCUGCCUGCUAAGCAGUUGUGGGGGAAACUCCACCCUGGGUUCGAAUCCCAGCCUCUCCGCCA